rnacentral:tRNA from 1 species
GGACGGUUAGACAUAAUGGUAUUGGGGCGGUCUUGAAAACCGUUGGGGGUAAAACCUUUGGGAGUUCGAAUCUCUCACCGUCCG